CCAACUAAAAUCACAGUACAUAAUGGUCAUGACAUUAUCAAACACCUAAAAUUGAUAUGGACCAAGCAAAUUACACAAUUCGAUUCUUAUUCAUGAAACCAAAUAAUUACAAUAAGUCAAGCUCAUCCAACUAUACAUAUUUCAUUUUAAAUCUUCCAAAACUCGUUUCCCCUUGCGCAUCUUUAUGUUAAGCAAAAUCUCCGAGUUCCUCUCCUCGGUUAUUUUUGCACACGUUUACACCAUAUGGGACAAAUUUAGAAAACUUGAAACUCAUUCCACUUGAUUCACCAUGCAAUAGAUACUCCUUGUCGGGCAAAACUUUAGAAAACUUGAAAAAUCAAUAAUCGCGGGUGCUACAAUGGACAAACUUCCCUUUAUUGUUGGAAUUCCUUUCAAUGUCAGAUUCCCCAUGUUCCUCCUGGCCAUUCCACACAGUCUGAAUCAAUUAACUCGCGUGCUGAGACAAAAAAAAAAUAAAAAAAUCCAUGUCAAUAAUCUAGUGGAUAGACUUCUAUGAGGUCCUAACAUCACAAAAAUGAAGCAUUCCAUUGCUUCAAUAAACUAAACUCAAGCAUUAUAAAUGUACACACAAAAAAUCCAUUCCAGACGAGAAAUUGUAUGAGAUCCUAACAUCACAAAAUUGAAUCAUUCCACAACUUCAACACUUAGCAGUAUCAAUGUACAAUAAAACCCAUUCCACACAACAAUUCGCUAACACCACAUAAAUGAAGCAUUUCACAACUUCAACAAACUAAAUUCAAGCAGUAUAAAUGU
rnacentral:lncRNA from 1 species